rnacentral:lncRNA from 11 species
UUCAAAGCAGUUUGACUUUACCUUUUUCUGAAGCUGAGAGUGUGUGAUUUGUUCAAGGUCACCCAACUGGUUUCCAUGACCAAAUAGGGAUUCAAAGUUUGGGGUCCAGAGUUGUAGUUCAGUGCUGAAAGUACUAUACCACCUUGGUUCUCAACUCUGUACACAGGAAUUCUCCAGAAUACAGGCAUCCAAAUGUUUUUACACUGGAAACCUAUGCCUCUUUAACUUAGGAACACCAAAAAACUAAACAAGACUUUUUUUUUCCCCUUUGACAUAUAUAGGAUUGUUCUGCAUUUCUCUUAAGUGGCAGAUUUCAAGAUGUGUAUGGUUGUUUUCAAGCUGACUUGUGCCCCGAAUUUUGGCAAAAGGCAGGAUGUAAAUUAUUACCAUCGUCAUCUUCUAUCUGAGGAACCAAAAAAGGUGUACAACAAAAUUGAGU